CAUGAGCCACCUCUGGUUAAUACCCAUACAUGAGCCACCUCUGGUUAAUACCCCGUACAUGAGCCAUCUCUGGUUAAUACCCCGUACAUGAGCCACCUCUGGUUAAUACCCCGUACAUGAGCCACCUCUGGUUAAUACCCCGUACAUGAGCCACCUCUGGUUAAUACCCCGUACAUGAGCCACCUCUGGUUAAUACCCCGUACAUGAGCCACCUCUGGUUAAUACCUUGUACAUGAGCCACCUCUGGUUAAUACAAUACAAUGAGUUGACUGGUUGUCUACUUGUAUUUUAACAUUGCUAGAAUGAUCAGUGUGCUGUUAUAAAUGCUUUUAGCAAGUGUUAAAAUGAUGAAUGGUAAUCCAUAAUAAUUAAACACGCUUUAAGGUGGAAACUCUUCUCAUCCACCACUUAGGGGGAUGCACGGCAACCAAUAGUCCCUGAAAGCUCACCACACAUCAGUUAUCGUGGAGAGGUGAGAAGUGUGAUGAUUAGGAAGGAAGGGGGUGAUUAGGAGGUUAUGAUGGAAAUGGGGCCAGGUUGGGGACUUAGCCAGGACACUGGAGCCAGGUUGGGUCCCCAGGACACUGGGGCCAGGUUGGGGACUUAGCCAGGACACUGGGGCCAGGUUGGGAACUUAGCCAGGACACUGGGGCCAGGUUGAGGACAUAGCCAGGACACUGGGGCCAGGUUGGGAACUUAGCCAGGACACUGGGGCCAGGUUGAGGACAUAGCCAGGACACUGGGGCCAGGUUGGGAACUUAGCCAGGACACUGGGGCCAGGUUGAGGACAUAGCCAGGACACUGGGGCCAGGUUGAGGACAUAGCCAGGACACUGGGGCCAGGUUGGGGACAUAGCCAGGACCUGGGGCCAGGUUGGGGACUUAGCCAGGACACUGGGGCCAGGUUGGGUCCCCAGGACACUGGGGCCAGGUUGGGGUCUUAGCCAGGACACUGGGGUCAGGUCGGGGACAUAGCCAGGCCACUGGGGCCAGGUUGGGGACUUAGCCAGGACACUGGGGCCAGGUUGGGUCCCCAGGACACUGGGUCCAGGUUGGGGACAUAGCCAGGACACUGGGGCCAGGUUGGGUCCCCAGGACACUGGGGCCAGGUUGGGUCCCCAGGACACUGGGGCCAGGUUGGGGACAUAGCCAGGACACUAGGGCCAGGUUGGGGACUUAGCCAGGAUAUUGGGACAAGGUUGGGGACUUAGCCAGGACACUGGGGCCAGGUUGGGGACUUAGCCAGGACACUGGGGCCAGGUUGGGGACUUAGCCAGGACACUGGGGCCAGUUUGGGGACUUAGCCAGGACAAGCUUUUCUUUUCUGUUUUCUUAUCUGACCAGGAAAACCUCAGUGCUGUAGCUAUAGCCUGGCAUAGGGCCAUAUGUAUAACAUAUGUAUAAGUGUUUCUGACAGUAGGUGCUAUAUGGCAAUUAUACAAUCUGGAUGUGGCAAUUAUACAAUCUAGAUGUGGUAAUUAUACAAUCUAGACAUGGUAAUUAUACAAUCUGGAUGUGGCAAUUAUACAAUCUAGAUGUGGUAAUUCUACAAUCUAGAUGUGGUUAUGAAAGGGUUAUCAAACCCCUUCACAGUUUAGAGGUGUGAACAGGGAGGCUAGCUCCUCUAUGAUCACAAACUGUAGCUAUAGAGCUGAACCACAGCCCUAUCCCAGCCCUUUAUCCACUUUGAUCACUCUGAAGCACUUCUCUCUGAUAGAAACACCCAUGGUUUUCAAACUCUUCAGCAGAACUCUGAGUAGAAAGAGACAUCAAGGCCUGAGCCUCAAGCCUAACAAGACUGUUUUCAACAGAGAGGA
rnacentral:lncRNA from 1 species